AGAGUUUGAUCCUGGCUCAGAGCGAACGCUGGCGGCAGGCUUAACACAUGCAAGUCGAACGCAUCCUUCGGGGUGAGUGGCAGACGGGUGAGUAACACGUGGGAACGUACCCUUUGGUUCGGAACAACUCCGGGAAACUGGAGCUAAUACCGGAUACGCCCUUUUGGGGAAAGGUUUACUGCCGAAGGAUCGGCCCGCGUCUGAUUAGCUUGUUGGUGGGGUAACGGCCUACCAAGGCGACGAUCAGUAGCUGGUCUGAGAGGAUGAUCAGCCACACUGGGACUGAGACACGGCCCAGACUCCUACGGGAGGCAGCAGUGGGGAAUAUUGGACAAUGGGCGCAAGCCUGAUCCAGCCAUGCCGCGUGAGUGAUGAAGGCCUUAGGGUUGUAAAGCU
rnacentral:rRNA from 1 species